GUGCUUGCUUCGACAGCACAGGUACUAAAAUUGGACCGAUACAGAGAAGAUUAGCAUGGGCCCUGCACAGGAUGUUAUGCAAAUUCUUGAAGAAAAAAAAAAAAGA
ensembl:snRNA U6 U6 spliceosomal RNA